GCAUAUCAAUAAGCGGAGGAAAAGAAACCAACAGGGAUUGCCCUAGUAACGGCGAGUGAAGCGGCAACAGCUCAAAUUUGAAAUCUGGCCUCGGCCCGAGUUGUAAUUUGCAGAGGAUGCUUCUGGCGCGGUGCCUUCCGAGUUCCCUGGAACGGGACGCCACAGAGGGUGAGAGCCCCGUAUGGUCGGACACCAAACCUGUGUGAAGCUCCUUCGACGAGUCGAGUAGUUUGGGAAUGCUGCUCUAAAUGGGAGGUAAAUCUCUUCUAAAGCUAAAUACCGGCCAGAGACCGAUAGCGCACAAGUAGAGUGAUCGAAAGAUGAAAAGCACCUUGAAAAGGGGGUUAAAUAGUACGUGAAAUUGUUGAAAGGGAAGCACUUGUGACCAGACUUGGGCCGGGCGGCUCAUCAGGGGUUCUCCCCUGUGCACUCCGCCCGGCACAGGCCAGCAUCGGUUCUCGUGGGGGGAUAAGACCGUCAGGAACGUAGCACCCUCCGGGGUGUGUUAUAGCCUGGCGGACGAUACCCCCGUGGGGACCGAGGUUCGCGCUCCGCAAGGAUGCUGGCGUAAUGGUCACCAGUGACCCGUCUUGAAACACGGACC
rnacentral:rRNA from 1 species